rnacentral:rRNA from 1 species
GACGAACGCUGGCGGCGUGCUUAACACAUGCAAGUCGAACGGAAAGGCCCUGCUUUUGUGGGGUGCUCGAGUGGCGAACGGGUGAGUAACACGUGAGUAACCUGCCCUUGACUUUGGGAUAACUUCAGGAAACUGGGGCUAAUACCGGAUAGGAGCUCCUGCUGCAUGGUGGGGGUUGGAAAGUUUCGGCGGUUGGGGAUGGACUCGCGGCUUAUCAGCUUGUUGGUGGGGUAGUGGCUUACCAAGGCUUUGACGGGUAGCCGGCCUGAGAGGGUGACCGGCCACAUUGGGACUGAGAUACGGCCCAGACUCCUACGGGAGGCAGCAGUGGGGAAUAUUGCACAAUGGGCGGAAGCCUGAUGCAGCAACGCCGCGUGCGGGAUGACGGCCUUCGGGUUGUAAACCGCUUUCGCCUGUGACGAAGCGUGAGUGACGGUAAUGGGUAAAGAAGCACCGGCUAACUACGUGCCAGCAGCCGCGGUGAUACGUAGGGUGCGAGCGUUGUCCGGAUUUAUUGGGCGUAAAGGGCUCGUAGGUGGUUGAUCGCGUCGGAAGUGUAAUCUUGGGGCUUAACCCUGAGCGUGCUUUCGAUACGGGUUGACUUGAGGAAGGUAGGGGAGAAUGGAAUUCCUGGUGGAGCGGUGGAAUGCGCAGAUAUCAGGAGGAACACCAGUGGCGAAGGCGGUUCUCUGGGCCUUUCCUGACGCUGAGGAGCGAAAGCGUGGGGAGCGAACAGGCUUAGAUACCCUGGUAGUCCACGCUGUAAACGGUGGGUACUAGGUGUGGGGCCCAUUCCACGGGUUCCGUGCCGUAGCUAACGCUUUAAGUACCCCGCCUGGGGAGUACGGCCGCAAGGCUAAAACUCAAAGGAAUUGACGGGGCCCCGCACAAGCGGCGGAGCAUGCGGAUUAAUUCGAUGCAACGCGUAGAACCUUACCUGGGUUUGACAUGGAUCGGGAGUGCUCAGAGAUGGGUGUGCCUCUUUUGGGGUCGGUUCACAGGUGGUGCAUGGCUGUCGUCAGCUCGUGUCGUGAGAUGUUGGGUUAAGUCCCGCAACGAGCGCAACCCUUGUUCACUGUUGCCAGCACGUUAUGGUGGGGACUCAGUGGAGACCGCCGGGGUCAACUCGGAGGAAGGUGGGGAUGACGUCAAGUCAUCAUGCCCCUUAUGUCCAGGGCUUCACGCAUGCUACAAUGGCUGGUACAGAGAGUGGCGAGCCUGUGAGGGUGAGCGAAUCUCGGAAAGCCGGUCUCAGUUCGGAUUGGGGUCUGCAACUCGACCUCAUGAAGUCGGAGUCGCUAGUAAUCGCAGAUCAGCAACGCUGCGAUGAAUACGUUCCCGGG